UACAGAGACUGCAAGCGUUAUUCGGAUUCACUGGGCGUAAAGGGUGCGCAGGUGGCGCCGUAAGUCGGGUGUGAAAUCUCGGGGCUUAACUCCGAAACUGCAUUCGAUACUGCGGUGCUUGAGGACUGGAGAGGAGACUGGAAUUCAUGGUGUAGCAGUGAAAUGCGUAGAGAUCAUGAGGAAGACCAGUGGCGAAGGCGGGUCUCUGGACAGUUCCUGACACUGAGGCACGAAGGUCAGGGGAGCAAACGGG
rnacentral:rRNA from 1 species